CAGCACCUCAAGUGGUCAGGAUGAUUAUUGGGCCUAAAGCAUCCGUAGCCGGUUCUACAAGUCUUCCGUUAAAUCCACCUGCUUAACAGAUGGGCCGCGGAGGAUACUAUAAGACUAGGAGGCAGGAGAGGCAAGCGGUACUCAGUGGGUAGGGGUAAAAUCCGUUGAUCCAUUGAAGACCACCAGUGGCGGAGGCGGCUUGCCAGAAUGCGCUCGACGGUGAGGGAUGAAAGCUGGGGGAGCAAACCGGAUUAGAUACCCGAGUAGUCC
rnacentral:rRNA from 1 species